UGCGGAAUUUUAGAUAAUGGAGGGAACUCUGAUCUAGCGACGCCGCGUGCAGGAAGAAGGUCUUCGGAUUGUAAACUGCUGCGGUAAGGGAAAAAUGCUAUGUAGAAUGGAAAGCUACAUAGAGGGAUGGUACCUUACUAGAAAGCCCCGGCUAACUACGUGCCAGCAGCCGCGGUAAUACGUAGGGGGCGAGCGUUACCCGGAAUCACUGGGCGUAAAGGGAGCGUAGGUGGCCUAACAUGUCAACUGUGAAAACCCGGAGCUCAACUCCGGACUUGCAGUUGAAACUGGUAGGCUUGAGGACGGUAGAGGAAGACGGUACUGCCAGUGUAGGGGUAAAAUCCUUAGAUAUUGGCAGGAACGCCGGUGACGAAGGUGGUUUUCUGGGCCGGUUCUGACACUGAUGCUCGAAAGCCAGGGGAGCGAACGG
rnacentral:rRNA from 1 species